rnacentral:rRNA from 1 species
UACGAAGGGAGCUAGCGUUGUUCGGAAUCACUGGGCGUAAAGCGCACGUAGGCGGAUGUGUCAGUCAGGGGUGAAAUCCCGGAGCUCAACUUCGGAACUGCCCUUGAUACAGCACGUCUUGAGUCCGAGAGAGGUGGGUGGAAUUCCUAGUGUAGAGGUGAAAUUCGUAGAUAUUAGGAAGAACACCAGUGGCGAAGGCGGCCCACUGGCUCGGUACUGACGCUGAGGUGCGAAAGCGUGGGGAGCAAACAGG